GAGUAGAGGGUGAAAUUUUGUCCGCGUCUGUUAGCUGACUGUGAUGUUUGCAACAAAAUGAGCCAGGGUGAGUCAUCGGGGCGCAGACGCACUUUUUUUUCCCCGAAAGGCUAGAGAGGGAGUCUGUCGACCAUGAUUUCUUCAUAGAACUGAACUUCGUUUGUGUCAGAUUCUAUCUCUGUUCGCCUUCUGGUGUUCGGUAACUUGCAUUCAUGGCUAUGGUGGGGUUCUGCUGUAGAUGGGAAAAAAAGAGGGUAGAUUUUAUU
rnacentral:lncRNA from 1 species